CGACCCUAGAAUUUAAAAUGAAGAUAAGUUUAACACCGACACGUAAGUUAGCGAAUGUUGACCUCUGAAAACAUGUCUUAAAUGUGUACACUUGACCUUAAGCUGUCUGAAUGUGGUGAAAUUAGGUGUAAUUCUCUGAAGUGUUUAUACGACUGUCGUUUUUAGACCUUUUCAAGUGUAUUAAUUGACCUGUUGUCCUGAAAUAUUUCAAGUAUUCUUUCAAGUGACCAGUAACGUGUUUUUGUUAAAUGUGCGACAAGUUGUGCAUCAUAUGAGAACAAGAGCGUUUAAAGUAAAAAUAUUCUGUUUCCUUUCAAAUGUUGUUUAUUUGUUCUAUAGUUGAAAAAUUAUGACAUGCUGGUUUCAAACUUUCGUUUGAUGAAACAAAUACUUUCUUUUAAUUUGAUUCUGAACAUUUUAACAGAGCUCAGAUUUUGCCACGGAGCUUAAUGAUGGAUACCUUUAGUAAAUAACUAGUCAUUUAGUUUUUAAAAAAUAUGAAUUCCAAUAAAGUACUUGACAUUAUGAGUAAAAUAGUAUACUCCUGCUACACUGCGAAGUUGCUGUGUAAUCAAAUAUAAUGUUUGAUAUAUUUCAGCAGUUUUGUUUUGAUGGACCGUGAGUGCCAAAGCACAUUUCAUCACUCUCUGCUUAGUUACUGUGGUACGAAAUCCCUUGCACAGUGCACACACCUUGUACUCUUUCUGAAAAUGUCGGUAAAACUCUCAGGGACAAACAGUAUGUAAUGUAUUAUAACGACAGAUAUAUGAUAAUUAUUACAAUUUACAUGUCAUUUUAGUUUUUAACAACGAAAAUCUUCGUAAUUUUGUCUGUCAUUUGUGUCAAGGCUCUAAACUGGUAAGGCUUUGCUUUGAAGAAGUGAAAGGUGGUUGGUUGACUUGAGGUAACAGGGCAUACUGUUGAUUUAUAUGCACAUGCGCGUUAGAUGCUUUGGAUAGAGUGGUACAACAUGUGGUCAUUUACAGGAUGCCCUUUAGAAAAUCCCAGUGUUUGAAGUCUCUGUCGACGUUGUAGCUCUACCGGUCUGUACUACGUUGGAUGGUUAAUUUGUGUUAGAAAUGCAUGUCAGACAGAUAUUUUAAAUCAACAGAGCCCGUAUUAAGAUAACACUAUUUGAAGUUUUAAGAUGGGAUAGCAUUUAGGAAUUUCUAUAGUUUCUAUUCGAUCAGUUAUCAAAACUAAUCUACAUAAUAUAAUAUGGAUUAAUGUAUUUGUAUUUUGGACCAGGUCAGAUUUAGUUGAUUUAUUCCUUUUAUAGACUGAUACCUUACCAUUCCAGACAAACUGCCUGAUCUUCCAUCUGUAAAGUCAUUCACGAGAUUGCUGUUACUGACUAACAUAUUUUACUAUUCAGCACUGCGUUGGGAUUCAAGUGUUCUCUUAUAGUUUUGGCAAACCUCAUCAACAAGCCCUAAGUGUACCUGUAGUGAGUAUUGAGGGAUACCGCCCUGCAUCUCUAACCAUUCCUGUAUCAAUAAUUCUCUCGUUUACCGUAUAUUGAUUACAGUUGAAUUUUAAUUGAUACGUAUUUAUAACAUGUUUGGUUUGGGACAACUAUGAGGACGUGUGAAGAAAUAUACAAGAGGAUGUUUUAUUUCACUGCAAUACAAAACAGCGGAUGUCCCCUUUGUAUCCUAUGCUGGAUCUCGUCGUGUUGAUUUCAAAACACAACCAACCAUCUGCUUCUUACCUGUACAACAACAGAAAGGAUCAAAGACUUGUGAAAUACUAUUGUCCAUUUCUUCGCGAUGAAUGUAAUUUCAGCUAGUAUUGGAAAACAUUUCUCAUUUUUCAUUUAUAUCUGUUAUGUCAUGACAGUUUAAGGAUGUUAAGAAAGAGUAAAUUAAUUGCAUGAUAACAAAAUUUGAUUUUAAACCACGGAAUUAUGAUAAAAAAAAAAAUAUGCAUUUUGUCACUUCUUCUGAAAAGAUAAUUAAGUUUAAUAUCGUGAUGUCCUGUAACAAAAUACAACAUGCAUUGUGUUAUAUGAGGGAUAUUCAAUCUUUUCUGUAAAGUGUUAUAUGAGGAAUAUUCAAUCUUCCUAUAAAGUGUUAUAUGAGGAAUAUUCAAUCUUUCCUGUAAAGUGUUACAUGAGGGAUAUUCAAUCUUUUCUGUAAAGUUUUGUCUAAUAUAUUGACAAUGAUGGAUUGUAUUUUGCUCUCUGUCGAUGUAAACUUAUUUAGAGUAAUUAGUACAAGACACACCGAUGGUCAUCUGUAAGCUGUGUAUCUUCCUCAGGUCAAAGUUCGUUUUUUAUUUAAAUAUACAUAUGUAAAAUUAAUGUGUUCAUAGAAAUUAUAAGGGUACAUAAAGGAGAUGUCCUAAGUAAGAUGCCAAACUUGUCAAAUGUGAUAUUCGAUCGAUCAUUGAGUCCCCACUUUUUGUCUUAUUUGAUUGUAAUCAUUGCAAUUAUGAUGUGUUAAUAGUUUUAAGUUAUGUAAUAGCUAAGUAAAUGUUGUAUUUAUGCAAAUACAUUAUACACAGAGUAAAACCGCCUUUGAAAUUUAUUACUGAGAUUUUAUACAUUUAUAAUAAAAAUUGUAAUGAA